rnacentral:rRNA from 1 species
UACGUAGGGUGCAAGCGUUAAUCGGAAUUACUGGGCGUAAAGGGCUCGUAGGCGGCCAACUAAGUCAGACGUGAAAUCCCUCGGCUUAACCGGGGAACUGCGUCUGAUACUGGAUGGCUUGAGUUUGGGAGAGGGAUGCGGAAUUCCAGGUGUAGCGGUGAAAUGCGUAGAUAUCUGGAGGAACACCGGUGGCAAGGCGGCAUCCUGGACCAACACUGACGCUGAGGGAGCGAAAGCCAGGGGAGCAAACGGG